rnacentral:rRNA from 1 species
GUAGGGGGCGAGCGUUGUCCGGAUUUAUUGGGCGUAAAGAGCUCGUAGGCGGUUCGGUAAGUCGGGUGUGAAAACUCUGGGCUCAACUCAGAGACGCCACCCGAUACUGCUGUGACUUGAGUCCGGUAGGGGAGUGUGGAAUUCCCGGUGUAGCGGUGAAAUGCGCAGAUAUCGGGAGGAACACCAGUGGCGAAGGCGGCACUCUGGGCCGGAACUGACGCUGAGGAGCGAAAGCGUGGGUAGCGAACAGGAUUAGAUACCCUGGUAGUCCACGCCGUAAACGUUGGGCACUAGGUGUGGGUCUCAACCAACGGGAUCCGUGCCGCAGCUAACGCAUUAAGUGCCCCGCCUGGGGAGUACGGCCGCAAGGCUAAA